CAGCAGCUGUGAGCAAUAUGAGCUCUGCCAGCUUGCUUUGUGCAAUGAAAACACUGUGUCCUGCACCCCCCUGAAGUACCAGAGGUAGAGGAUGAACAAAGGCAAAGGUUGAAAAGAGCCGGGCGGGCGCUAGAGGACAGCCGAGCUCCACGGAACGGCCGCCAGGAGCCCGCAGCCCCGAGCAUCGCCGCAGCCCCGAAGCCGCCCCGCGGGGCUCACGCGUCUCCCAGACCCAGAGGUGGAUGGGCUGGGGCUGCUUGCAAACACAGCGCCAGAACUGGGAGUGUUACUCUGAGGAAGCUGUUGAGAAGGUUCCCACUCACGGAUCUGCCCCGGGCUGCUGCUGUUGCAUAGCUUUGUGUGUCCUUCACCAGCAAGAAACCAUCAUGUAAACAUCCGCUGUUCUACCAGGAAGGGAGCACGGAUGUGGGGCUGUCGGGAUGCUCAAGGAUUCCUGCCUCCCUCCCGGCACACACCUGGGGCCAGGUGGCAGCAGAGGCUGUGCUGUCCCCUCCCAGUGACCAAGAGGGACCCGUGCUCAGGCAGCUCCCCGGGGUCCCUUGGGAUGAGGGAUGCAGGGGGCAGCAGGAUGCAGACUUUUGCUCUGUGAACAUCUCUGAUCGCUGUGCCUGUGCAAGGGGGGGAGGGGGCACAGGUGCUGCCUCUGCCAAGGCUCAAUCAGCGGGUUUGUUCCAAGCUGUGGCCGGCCUGAUUGAUGUGGGCAGCCUCUGCUGGGAUGCUGAUUUCAGAGCCUGCAGCUGAGAGCAAAUUUCUGGCUAUUAUGCACUGAAAAUAGUUUGGGUUGUGGCGGAAUUAUUUGUGUCCAGGGGAACGGAGCAGUGCCUGGGUGGGACCAGUGCCCACGGCUGGCAGUGGGACUGCAGGUGUCUGAGGGCUGUGGCACAGAUCUGUGGCUCAGCAGCACGGCAGCAUCGGGGGAGGUGGGUCCUGAGUGUCUCCAGCCAGGAGGAGAGGAAGAAUCCGACUUGGAGGAAAUAUUACCCUCCGACCCCUGUGCUCAGGCCAGCUGUUGAGCCAUUUAACACCCCGAGAGGCUGAGGAAGCCCAUGGUCAGGCAGUGCUGCUCUCCAGCUGCCUCCUGCAGAGGGGCAGGAGCUGCGGUGCUGCCAGGCUGGGCAAGGAUGACCGUGUGCCCGGACACGCUGAGCUGCUCUCAGUUGUCCCACAGCACCGCUGCAGCCAUCAGGGCAACGCCACCAGGGCAAUACUGGAGAGAGCAUCCCCGUUUUGGGGUGUUGGGGCUGGGAUGGGGCCGUGGGGCCGUUCAGCUGCCAGCCCUGCAGCCCCAGCACCCAGCCAGGCGCAGCGGCGGCGGCGGAUUUGCUUUGUUUACUCUGCAACUUUGGCUCUGGCUGGAGUUUGUUAAGGGGUCAGGCUGAUUGGGUUGUUUUCCUGCACUUUACAAUUUCCUAUGUGGUACUUUAAUAGACGUGAGGGCGCCUACAGCUACAGAGAGGCACUUUAUUUUAUUUUCGAAAUGGAAGUAAAUAAAGAAAUAAAUGCACCCAGCCACCACCUCCCCCCUCUUAAUGCCUUGCUAUCUCUCUGCAGCCCCUUCCCCAGCUUCCUCUGGCUUGGGGGAACCUCUUUUCAACCGACCGCAAUAUAUAUUUUAACGAGGGUUGUUAAUGAGCCCCGGCCCCAGCCUGCUGUGUGGAGCAGCAUGGCAGAGGCUCUCUCCUGUGUGCACAGUGUGAGCCAAGGAUGCCCUGCAUCACUGAAGUCUCUUCAGGGAGGAGAGGUUUCAAUGGGAUGGGGCAGAAGGACCUGGAAGGACAGGUGGGGACAGCAGUGUGGAGGAUGCCAGCACCGGGGCAAUGUGCUCCUGUUGUGGUGCAUUUAAUCGGGGUCCAAGAACGGAGGUGACAUUUUCUGCUGCUCUUCUCAUCCCUACGAGCAGGCAGAGCACAGCCCCGUGUCUGGGGUGGCCACACAGUGUUGGCAUCGCAGCAGCGGUGACGUGGCCCCUUGGUGACACCUGGCACUUGGUGGCAUCCUGGGCAGGGCACAGGGACCUGCCACUGAUGCUGGGCAUUGCACAAACUGCAGGGCCGU